AAAAAGAAAAAAAGAAUGAAUCAAAAUGCAAGAUCUAGGAUGCAAAGAUGUAAAUCUAGGUAGAGGAUGAGAUUAUGAUGCAAAAGGUACAAGAGAUCUGCAAAAAAGAUUAAAAAAAAUUGCAAGCUUAGGGUUAACAGUAGGAAGAAGAAGAAAGAAAAAAAAAAGAAAAAAUGGAGAGGAAAUACCACAGAUUGAGGAGAAAGUGAGAGGAGAUCUGAGUGCUGGAGAAGAUUUGGGCGGUUCGGAUGAGGGCUGGGCGCAAGAUCUGGGCGACCGGACGGAGAGGAGGAAGAAGAAGAGAAAAAAAAUGGAAAAUGGGGCUUGUCGGGUUGCUGGGGACGACAAGGGGGCCCGCUAGCGGGUUUCGGGCGCUCGUGCGGG
rnacentral:lncRNA from 1 species